rnacentral:rRNA from 1 species
AGAGUUUGAUCCUGGCUCAGGAUGAACGCUAGCGGCAGGCCUAAUACAUGCAAGUCGAACGAGAUUGAGGAGCUUGCUCUUCAUGAAAGUGGCGCACGGGUGCGUAACGCGUAUGCAACCUACCUUAAUCAGGGGGAUAGCCUCUCGAAAGAGAGAUUAACACCGCAUAAAAUCACAGUCCGGCAUCGGAUAAUGAUCAAAUAUUUAUAGGAUUAAGAUGGGCAUGCGUGACAUUAGCUAGUUGGUAAGGUAACGGCUUACCAAGGCUACGAUGUCUAGGGGAUCUGAGAGGAUGACCCCCCACACUGGUACUGAGACACGGACCAGACUCCUACGGGAGGCAGCAGUAAGGAAUAUUGGUCAAUGGGGGCAACCCUGAACCAGCCAUGCCGCGUGCAGGAAGACGGCCCUACGGGUUGUAAACUGCUUUUAUACGGGAAUAAACCUCUGCUCGUGAGCAGAGUUGAAUGUACUGUAAGAAUAAGGAUCGGCUAACUCCGUGCCAGCAGCCGCGGUAAUACGGAGGAUCCAAGCGUUAUCCGGAUUUAUUGGGUUUAAAGGGUGCGUAGGCGGCCUAUUAAGUCAGGGGUGAAAGACGGUGGCUCAACCAUCGCAGUGCCCUUGAUACUGAUGGGCUUGAUUACACUUGAGGUAGGCGGAAUGUGACAAGUAGCGGUGAAAUGCAUAGAUAUGUCACAGAACACCAAUUGCGAAGGCAGCUUACUACGGUGUUAAUGACGCUGAGGCACGAAAGCGUGGGGAUCAAACAGGAUUAGAUACCCUGGUAGUCCACGCCCUAAACGAUGAAUACUCGAUGUUAGCGAUAUACAGUUAGCGUCAAAGCGAAAGCGUUAAGUAUUCCACCUGGGGAGUACGCCCGCAAGGGUGAAACUCAAAGGAAUUGACGGGGGCCCGCACAAGCGGAGGAGCAUGUGGUUUAAUUCGAUGAUACGCGAGGAACCUUACCCGGGCUUGAAAGUUAGUGAAUUAUCCAGAGAUGGAUAAGUGAGCAAUCACACGAAACUAGGUGCUGCAUGGCUGUCGUCAGCUCGUGCCGUGAGGUGUUGGGUUGAGUCCCGCAACGAGCGCAACCCCUAUGUUUAGUUGCCAGCAUGUAAAGGUGGGGACUCUAAACAGACUGCCUGUGCAAACAGAGAGGAAGGAGGGGACGACGUCAAGUCAUCAUGGCCCUUACGUCCGGGGCUACACAC